AUUGAACGCUGGCGGAAUGCUUUACACAUGCAAGUCGAACGGCAGAACGGACUUCGGUCUGGUGGCGAGUGGCGAACGGGUGAGUAAUACAUCGGAACGUGCCCAGUCGUGGGGGAUAACGUAGCGAAAGCUACGCUAAUACCGCAUACGAUCUAAGGAUGAAAGCGGGGGAUCGCAAGACCUCGCGCGAUUGGAGCGGCCGAUGGCAGAUUAGGUAGUUGGUAGGGUAAAGGCCUACCAAGCCGACGAUCUGUAGCUGGUCUGAGAGGAUGAUCAGCCACACUGGGACUGAGACACGGCCCAGACUCCUACGGGAGGCAGCAGUGGGGAAUUUUGGACAAUGGGCGCAAGCCUGAUCCAGCCAUUCCGCGUGCAGGAUGAAGGCCUUCGGGUUGUAAACUGCUUUUGUACAGAACGAAAAGGCUCUGGUUAAUACCCGUGGCUCAUGACGGUACUGUAAGAAUAAGCACCGGCUGACUACGUGCCAGCCGCCGCCGUAA
rnacentral:rRNA from 1 species